rnacentral:lncRNA from 1 species
AUAUGUAUUGCAAAAGAUUUUUUCUUUUGAUUUGUCCAAAUCAUGUACAUGACAUUUAAAUAUGAAUAAAGGCGUUAUGUUUUAUUAUAUGCUGUUGAUUAUAUUUAUGAUAAACUCCUUAGAUUAGGGCAAUAGUUUUAAGACUAUGAUGAGAUCAUACUAGUGAGACUUAAAAUCCUAAAAUCCUAAUCUUAAAUAUUCCCAGUCAUUGGUACAUUGAGUCGGGGAUCAAUGAUUACCGGAAAGACUGGCAUGUCUUAUGUAUGCUCGAUGCAGAGGAUGAUUGAUCUCACAAUCAUUUGUGUGGAGACACUAAUACAAAGAUAUGGGUGCUCAUUAGAGCAAUGAGUUCACUGAAUUGAUCUACAAAGAGAAAUCUUAUGAAGUCUUACUUACAUGUCAAAAGAUGAUUCUCUUAGUGGGAGUUGUGCAACUGAUCCUAUGACCUGAGAUCACCAUGGUAUCUUGUGCACAUGAACUCAUAUUUUGGUUUACACUCAUUCAUGACAAUAAGUUAUGUACGAGGUCUUCUGGAUAUGGUGAAUUGUGUACGAAGAUUAUAAGUAGGUCAACAAGGAAUUAAUCACUUCUAGUAAAAGAAGAUAGCAUCCUAUUUAUUCUAAUCAUAUGAUAAAUCAGAAAGCCUUUGAUCAAAGCAGAAUGAAAAUUAGAAAGAGUUUCUAAUAUUCCAUUAUUUGAAUUAUCAUUAAAAGAUUGAGAAAAAUAUGAAUAUGAAAUUGAGUUUGACAUAUAUUCAUACUCAUAUACAUAUUUGGGAUGCAGUUUGAUUAAAGGAUUGAAUUGCAUGGUAACUUGCCACUGAAGGGUAUUUUUGGUAUUUCCAUCAAAUUCCAUAUUUUUCGGAUAGACAUGACACGUUGCUAGACGUCAAUCUUGUUUUAUAGAUUUGAUCAAAUUAAAGAGUUUAAUUCGAUCACCAAUUAGAAAGGAUUCUAAUUAUUAAGUUCGGAUUCGCGCAGUUUGGACUUAAAUCGAUUAGAAGAGUUCUAAUCAAGUUGGGUCAACUCGCACUUACACCUAUUGCUGGCUAAGUAUGGAACCCAAUGGGUCACACACAAGAAAACUUAUCAGGGGUCUAAUUGGAUUAGAUCAUGUUUGCAAGAUAAACAUCCUAGCAGGUGUUGCAAACCUUAGCUCCUAAUUCGAAUUGGAUUCGAAUCUGAUUCGAAUUGGAUUCGAAUCUGAUUCUUAAUUGAUCUAAUUUGAUUAGAUCAUAUUCUAAUAUGGGUUAGCCAAGAGUUGGCACCUAAUUGGCUUGGUUUGAGUCUAAUUGGAUUAGAUUUAAUAAAUUAUUCAAUUUAGACCGUUAGAUCUUGAUCUACCGUUNNNNNNNNNNNNNNNNNNNNNNNNNNNNNNNNNNNNNNNNNNNNNNNNNAGGAUGGCUACCAUAAUUGACCAUUGGAUCUUAAUCCCACCAUUGGAUGAAGACAUAAUGGGUCAAGUGAAUGGCGCCUUGCAUUGGAGCCCUUGGAUCAUCAUCAUGAAAGAUCAAGAGGUGAGGCGUGAUAGACAUGUGAUUAGCAUGUGAUGUUGAUUUGGUCAAAAUAUGGCACCACAUGAAAGGACAUAUCAUUUGAUACACCUCCUCACUUGAUCUGCACCUCCUCUUAUUUGAUAUGGCCCUUUAGAUGAUGCCCUUUCAUGAGAGGAUGUGUGGAUGGGAUGCAUCCCUUGGAGAUGCAUCCCUACACCUAUUAUAAAUAGGUUAGCACUCCAUGGGUUUCAUCAUUCAAUUCACCCCACUCCUCUCUUCUUUCUUUCUUACANNNNNNNNNNNNNNNNNNNNNNNNNNNNNNNNNNNNNNNNNNNNNNNNNNNNNUGGUCUUCUUUAGGACAAGAGGAUUAGAAGUGAUUUUAGAAGGCUAAAGGAAAAUAGAAGGAAGGAAAGCAAGCCAUUAGAGUUCUUUAGAAGAAUUCUGCAUUAAGGAUCAAAAGUCUUUGGAGCUAAAGUCUUGAUCAAGUUUUCGUGUGGAUCACCAUUGAAGGGCGGACACUUAGACGCCUCGUGGAGAUUGUACACUUUGGAUUAGCGUUUAAGGUAUUCUACUAAUUCUGCAUUUAUUUUAUAUCAUUUGAUUAUAAUCAUUAAGGUGAUCUAG